GUGCUGACUUUGGUAAUACGUAUACUAAAAUCGGAAUGAUACAGGUAAGAUUAGCAUGGCCCCUAGGCAAGAAUGACUCACAAAUUCUAUAUUUAUGUUAAUAUAUAUUU